ACUCAAAGGAAUUGACGGGGACCCGCACAAGCGGUGGAGCAUGUGGUUUAAUUCGAAGCAACGCGAAGAACCUUACCAAGUCUUGACAUCCCAUUGAAAACACUUUAACCGGUGACCCUCUUCGGAGCAAUGGAGACAGGUGGUGCAUGGUUGUCGUCAGCUCGUGUCGUGAGAUGUUGGGUUAAGUCCCGCAACGAGCGCAACCCUUAUCCUUAGUAGCCAGCACAUAAUGGUGGGCACUCUGGGGAGACUGCCAGGGAUAACCUGGAGGAAGGUGGGGAUGACGUCAAAUCAUCAUGCCCCUUAUGAUUUGGGCUACACACGUGCUACAAUGGCGUAAACAAAGGGAAGCAAAGGAGCGAUCUGGAGCAAACCCCAAAAAUAACGUCUCAGUUCGGAUUGCAGGCUGCAACUCGCCUGCAUGAAGCUGGAAUCGCUAGUAAUCGCGAAUCAGAAUGUCGCGGUGAAUACGUUCCCGGGUCUUGUACACACCGCCCGUC
rnacentral:rRNA from 1 species